GAUGAACGCUGGCGGCGUGCCUAAUACAUGCAAGUCGAGCGAACGGACGAGAAGCUUGCUUCUCUGAUGUUAGCGGCGGACGGGUGAGUAACACGUGGAUAACCUACCUAUAAGACUGGGAUAACUUCGGGAAACCGGAGCUAAUACCGGAUGAUAUUUUGAACCGCAUGGUUCAAAAGUGAAAGACGGUCUUGCUGUCACUUAUAGAUGGAUCCGCGCUGCAUUAGCUAGUUGGUAAGGUAACGGCUUACCAAGGCAACGAUGCAUAGCCGACCUGAGAGAGUGAUCGGCCACACGGGAACUGAGACACGGUCCAGACUCCUACGGGAGGCAGCAGUAGGGAAUCUUCCGCAAUGGGCGAAAGCCUGACGGAGCAACGCCGCGUGAGUGAUGAAGGUCUUCGGAUCGUAAAACUCUGUUAUUAGGGAAGAACAUAUGUGUAAGUAACUGUGCACAUCGUGACGGUACCUAAUCAGAAAGCCACGGCUAACUACGUG
rnacentral:rRNA from 1 species